rnacentral:rRNA from 1 species
UACGUAGGGGGCAAGCGUUGUCCGGAUUUAUUGGGCGUAAAGAGCGUGUAGGCGGCCGUACAGGUCAGCUGUGAAAACUCGAGGCUCAACCUCGAGACGUCGGUUGAAACCGUACGGCUAGAGUCCGGAAGAGGAGAGUGGAAUUCCUGGUGUAGCGGUGAAAUGCGCAGAUAUCAGGAAGAACACCAAUGGCGAAGGCAGCUCUCUGGGACGGUACUGACGCUGAGACGCGAAAGCGUGGGGAGCGAACAGG